UACGGGGGGGAGCAAGCGUUGUUCGGAUUUACUGGGCGUAAAGGGCGCGUAGGCGGCCACCGCAAGUCGGUUGUGAAACCUCCAGGCUCAACCUGGAGACGCCACCCGAUACUGCUGUGGCUAGAGUCCGGUAGGGGAGCGUGGAAUUCCUGGUGUAGCGGUGAAAUGCGCAGAUAUCAGGAGGAACACCAAUGGCGAAGGCAGCUCGCUGGGGACGACUGACACUGAUCCGCGAAAGCUAGGGGAGCAAACGGG
rnacentral:rRNA from 1 species